rnacentral:lncRNA from 1 species
AUCAGGGCUAGGGUAUGCAGGGUGGGGUGGGCAAAGCACCUGAGUGGUAAGGUAUGAAGGUCAGCAUAUCUGGUUGCCAUGGAUAUCUUGAAUAAUGGGCCCUCUGGUGGUACGGCCGGCAGUAAGACUGUAAAUCAAUUGUGCAGCAUUCCUGCCCAAGGUGGGACACUCUACAAACUUGGUUCACAACUACGGUUACAUCUUGGAUCUCCUAAGGCCAGUUUCUGAAAUUCUUUAAGUAACAAGUAUGGUCAAACAUUAUGAGAGCACAGAAGAACAACAUAGACUGGCUAUUUUCUUUUCAUGACUAUUGAUUUGUGUGCUAGUCUGUUCUCACACUGCUAUAAAGAACUACCUGACACUGGGUGAUUUAUGAAGAAAAGAGGUGUAAUUGACUCACAGUUCCACAAGCUGUACAGGAAGUAUAGUUGAGAGGCCACGGGAAAGUUAUAGUCAUGGCAGAAAGGUGAAGGGGAAACAAGCAUGUCUCACCACGGUGGAGCAGGAGAAUGAAGAGGUUGUCACCAUCAAGUGAGAAGGGGAUAAAAGCCACCUGCUAAGGCUGGUACAGCAGGAAAAGCCUGGCCCCUGUCGGCAAGGCUACGUCAUGAUGCUUCCGUAACAACUCCAGACAGCUUACCCCCAG